rnacentral:misc_RNA from 1 species
AACUUUCAACAACGGAUCUCUUGGUUCUCGCAUCGAUGAAGAACGCAGCGAAUUGCGAUAAGUAAUGUGAAUUGCAGAAUUUUGUGAAUCAUCGAAUCUUUGAACGCACAUUGCACCCUUUGGUAUUCCAAAGGGUAUACCUGUUUGAGCGUCAUUUCUCUCUUAAACCCUCGGGUUUAGUGUUGAACUGAUUUCUGUUUUUAACAGAAACAGUUUGAAAUGAAAUGGCAAGGCGAAUUCUACCUAGCAUUACAGUGUCUUAGGUUUUACCAACUACGCUGGACUUGCUAUUGAAUUAUGCCGGGCGGUAUAAACUUUUUUUUUAAG